UAUUUUGUUAAUCUGAAGUAUAAUUUUUUAUAGAAAAACAGGAUAAACAAAAAUAUUUGCCAAUUUUGUGUAAAUGGUUUGGUUCCAUGGGGGAGAAUUUUAGUGUUUAACUUAUAUGUCUCAUUUUAAUAUAACAUGUGCAUGCAUGUAGAUAUGUCUACAUAUGUAUAUAUGAAUUUGUAUAUGAAUGUAUGCAUUUUAAUGAAGUAUUUUGACAUUCCAUUCUUUUAUUGAAAAGUUUGCCAUCCUCAAUAGUAUCUUUAUGUAAAGAGAAUCAUACAAAUACAUGCAGCAAAGAGGAAUUCCUCUUAUCUCUGGACUUUCUUCCUGGAGUUUAAGAUUCUGAUGUCAUUUUAAUUGAGCAGCCAAGUUGCUUUUUGUCAUUAAAGCCUGCCAUAGAACAUUUGCAAGAAUCUACUAAGAUGUUCUUCCAGGAGCUUUCUCUGAACCUCUUUAAGGUCCUUUAAAAACAGACACUUAGUACCUCCCAUCCAGAUGAGGAAGUAUUUGACAGAGUAGAAAUGCUUGCCAUUCUAAUUUAACACCAUGUUUUACUUGACCUCUGAUAUGCUGUCUAGUAAUUUUCAAGUUAUAUUUUGGGAACUUGAUCCUGUCUUUUUUUUAAACAAAUGCAAAAUUAUCAUUUCACAGUUUCAAGCCAGUUUGCAGAUUUAGUCAUGGUUAUUCACCAGAGACAUUACACAGUCCACUGCCACGUUUCUAAAUUCACACUGAUUUAAAAGUACCAAGAGACACACUUUUCACAGAGAACUAAGAAGAAAAUUGAAGCAGCAACCUUCACAUUGUUCAGUCACCGUUUACUCACCCUGGAUGAGACGUGGCAGCAUUCAAGUGUGGGCUAUUGAAGUUCCUUCCCAGCCCUGUUUAGGUGACUAUUUUAUACAACAGUCAUGUCUUCAUGGAAGGCUCCAGAUGAAUUCGACCGCAUGAUAACAUAUUUUAAACAAAAAAUGUUCACAUUCUUCUUGGUUGUUUAGAGUAUAAGGAUGUUUAUAAAGCCAGAAUAGAAAGGCAUAUACAACUUAUUUUUGUAAUUUCAGUCCCUAAGGUAUACGUUUGCUAAAUAUUAGCACAUUACAGAGGACCUCAAAGCAAGUGUAAGAACUUCCUGAGAGAGUUGAAGCUAUAGCUUUUCACCUCCUGGGUAGCUGAAAAUAGUUUAACUGUGGUGAGUUUGGG
rnacentral:lncRNA from 1 species